rnacentral:rRNA from 1 species
UACGUAGGGUGCGAGCGUUGUCCGGAAUUAUUGGGCGUAAAGGGCUCGUAGGCGGUUUGUCGCGUCGGGGAGUGAAAACCAGGUGCUUAACACCUGGCUUGCUUUCGAUACGGGCAGACUAGAGGUAUGCAGGGGGAGAACGGAAUUCCUGGUGUAGCGGUGAAAUGCGCAGAUAUCAGGAGGAACACUGGUGGCGAAGGCGGUUCUCUGGGCAUGACCUGACGCUGAGGAGCGAAAGUGUGGGGAGCGAACAGG